AAUUACAGGGCAAGGGUUCUCAAUCAGGGAAGCCACCAUAGAUGAUCUCCAACUUGCUUUCAAGCACAACCAGCUCACCUCAAGGCAACUUGUCCAAUUUUACCUUGGAGAAAUCACCAGACUCAACCCUUUCCUCAAGGGGGUCAUAGAAGUGAACCCGGAUGCGCUUGACCUUGCCGAAAAGGCUGACUACGAGCGCAAGACCAAGCCACCAUCUGUGCCACUCUCUAAGUUGCAUGGCAUUCCCAUUCUGGUCAAGGACAACACUGCAACCAAGGACAAGUUGAACACCACAGCUGGCUCUUAUGCUCUGCUUGGCUCUGUUGUGCCCCGGGACGCCGGCGUGGUGACCAAGUUGAGGGAGGCUGGGGCCAUCAUACUGGGAAAGGCCAGCUUGAGUGAGUGGUCCAAUUGGAGGUCCAAUAGUGCACCUUCCGGUUGGAAUGCCAGAGGUGGCCAAGGAGUGGUGAGUUGAUAUAUAUCAUACAAUUAUCACUUGUUUGAUUAAUUUAAAGGGUUAAGUUCUCUCAUGAUAUUUGGUAUGGUUGCGAAACUGUCAAUCUCAAACAGACAGUCAAACAAGAGUCCGCCUGUUGAUCUGUAUGGUAUGAGACCAUUUUUAUAAUUUAAACUGUACAAGGAAAAAAACAUCAGUAGACUAAGCCAGUUUGGUGGAGUGCAGAACCCGUACAAUUUUGAGGAGACGCCUGGCGGCUCAAGCAGCGGGUCAGCAAUAUCAGUGGCAGCAAGUCUGGUAGCAGUGGCACUGGGGACUGAGACAGAUGGAUCAAUUUUAAGUCCAUGCAGUUAUAACUCAGUAGUUGGCAUCAAACCAACAGUUGGUCUUACUAGUCGAGCAGGAGUUGUCCCGAUCUCCCCGAGACAGGACACAGUUGGGUAUGUAGCAUUAAUUUUGGAUACCUUUAAUAGUCAGAUGACUAGUUUUUUCUCAUUGUUUUUUGGUGUUGGAUUGAGCAGGCCCAUCUGUAGGACAGUAUCAGAUGCUGCUUAUGUUCUUGACGUCAUUGCAGGCGCUGACAACAUUGAUAUUGCAACAAUUGAGACAUCGAAGUACAUUCCUGAGGGUGGCUAUGCACAAUUUCUCAAAUGCGAUGGACUUGGAGGAAAGAGAUUAGGGAUAUUGAGAGCCUUCUAUGACUUGGAGGAUGACCCUUUCUUGACUCAAAUUUUUGAAAAACAUCUCAACACACUGAGGUAAGCAGGUUUCCAUCCUCUAGUAUUAGUCUCAACUGGAGACAUAUAUCCUCCAUCCAUUCUGAUUACGCAAUAAGUUCUGGUAUGUUUAAUUUAGGAAUGGAGGUGCUAUUUUGGUAGACCAUUUGGAAAUAGCCAAUUUGGACAAAAUCGUGUUCGAUAUUGUAAGUGAUGAACAGACUGCAUUGUCUGCUGAGUUCAAAAUAUCCUUAAACACAUACCUUAAGGAUUUGGUGGCUUCCCCAGUGCGAUCCUUGGCAGAUGUGAUAGCCUACAACAAUAAAAACUCGAAAUUGGUGAGUAAAUAGGAUCAAUUUGAUGUACUUUUCAAUUUGCAGCCUCUUACUGUCUGUUCUCAAAGACUUGCUUUACAUGCUUGAGUAGUUGAGUGUGUUAUAUAUAUAUAUAUACCUGGGCUAAUGCAUUCAUACACAUACAUUUUGCACAUAUUUGGUAAUCCCUAGAUAAGUUCAUGUACUAAAAGAUCAUGCUUAAUGAUCAUUCACAGGAAAAGAUCAAUGAAUAUGGACAAGAUCUCUUAGAAGAGUCUGAGAAGACUAAUGGAAUAGGACCAAAAGAGCUGGAAGUGUUGUCAAAUUUAGAAAGACUGUCUAGAGAUGGAUUUGAGAAGCUAAUGACAGAUAAGAGCCUAGAUGCCUUGGUGACUUAUUCUAGCACUGCUUCUUCUAUCCUUGCAAUUGGUGGGUUUCCGGGCAUUAUUGUGCCGGCAGGAUUCCAUGACACUGAAAAAUACCCUUUUGGAAUCUGCUUUGGGGGGCUAAAGGGUUCAGAGCCAAAGCUGAUUGAGAUUGCAUACGCGUUUGAGCAAGCAACUAAGAUCAGGAAGCCUCCACCUGUUGGUUCUUAA
rnacentral:lncRNA from 1 species